GAUGAACGCUGGCGGUAUGCUUAACACAUGCAAGUCGAACGGUCACUUCGGUGAUAGUGGCGGACGGGUGAGUAACGCGUGAGAAUCUGUCUUCAGGUCGGGGACAACAGUUAGAAAUGACUGCUAAUACCGGAUGUGCCUUUGGGCGAAAGAUUUAUUGCCUGAAAAAGAGCUCGCGUCAGAUUAGCUAGUAGGUGGUGUAAGAGACUACCUAGGCUCCGAUCUGUAGCUGGUCUGAGAGGACGAUCAGCCACACUGGAACUGAGACACGGUCCAGACUCCUACGGGAGGCAGCAGUGGGGAAUUUUCCGCAAUGGGCGAAAGCCUGACGGAGCAAUACCGCGUGAGGGACGAAGGCUUUUGGGUCGUAAACCUCUUUUCUCAAGGAAGAUGAUGACGGUACUUGAGGAAUAAGCAUCGGCUAACUCUGUG
rnacentral:rRNA from 1 species